rnacentral:rRNA from 1 species
UACGUAGGGGGCAAGCGUUGUCCGGAUUUAUUGGGCGUAAAGAGCGUGUAGGCGGCCUGAAAGGUCAGCUGUGAAAACUCGAGGCUCAACCUCGAGACGUCGGUUGAAACCACCUGGCUAGAGUCCGGAAGAGGAGUGUGGAAUUCCCGGUGUAGCGGUGGAAUGCGCAGAUAUCGGGAGGAACACCAGUGGCGAAGGCGGCGAUCUGGGAAGAUACUGACGCUGAGGUGCGAAAGCGUGGGGAGCAAACAGG